rnacentral:rRNA from 1 species
UACGGAGGGAGCUAGCGUUGUUCGGAAAUACUGGGCGUAAAGCGCGCGUAGGCGGCUUUUCAAGUCAGGGGUGAAAUCCCGGGGCUCAACCUCGGAACUGCCCUUGAAACUGGAGAGCUAGAAUCUUGGAGAGGUCAGUGGAAUUCCGAGUGUAGAGGUGAAAUUCGUAGAUAUUCGGAAGAACACCAGUGGCGAAGGCGACUGACUGGACAAGUAUUGACGCUGAGGUGCGAAAGCGUGGGGAGCAAACA